UACGGGGGGAGCAAGCGUUGUUCGGAUUUACUGGGCGUAAAGGGCGCGUAGGCGGCCUGUGCAAGUCAGUUGUGAAAUCUCCGAGCUUAACUCGGAACGGUCAACUGAUACUGCUCGGCUAGAGUGCGGAAGGGGCAACUGGAAUUCUUGGUGUAGCGGUGAAAUGCGUAGAUAUCAAGAGGAACACCUGCGGCGAAGGCGGGUUGCUGGGCCGACACUGACGCUGAGUGCGCGAAAGCUAGGGGAGCGAACGGG
rnacentral:rRNA from 1 species